CCUACGGGUGGCUGCAGUCGAGAAUCAUUCACAAUGGGGGAAACCCUGAUGGUGCGACGCCGCGUGGGGGAAUGAAGGUCUUCGGAUUGUAAACCCCUGUCAUGUGGGAGCAAAUUAAAAAGAUAGUACCACAAGAGGACGAGACGGCUAACUCUGUGCCAGCAGCCGCGGUAAUACAGAGGUCUCAAGCGUUGUUCGGAAUCACUGGGCGUAAAGCGUUCGGAGGCGGUUUCGUAAGUCGUGUGUGAAAGGCGCGGGCUCAACCCGCGGACGGCACAUGAUACUGCGAGACUAGAGUAAGGGAGGGGGAACCGGAAUUCUCGGUGUAGCAGUGAAAUGCGUAGAUAUCGAGAGGAACACUCGUGGCGAAGGCGGGUUCCUGGACAUUAACUGACGCUGAGGCACGAAGGCCAGGGGAUCGAAAGGGAUUAGAUACCCGGGUAGUC
rnacentral:rRNA from 1 species